AAACCAUGAAUAGGACAUUUUCGUAUCAAAUCUUUAAACCUUUCACAUGCUUCAUACAAGCUUUUAUCAUCUAUCUACUUGAAUGAAGUUAAAUAGUUUCGAAACUU